GGGGUUGUGGCUCAGUUGUAGAGUGCUUGCCUUGCAUGUAUGAGGCCCUGGGUUUGAUCCUCAGCACCA
rnacentral:tRNA from 1 species